AAAUACUCCUUACUGACCGCUAGAGAACCAGUACCGAGAUGGAAAGGCGAAAAGGACCCCGGAGAGCGGAGUGAAAUAGAUCCUCAAACCGUAUGCGUACAAGCAGUAGGAGCGGACUUGUUCCGUGACUGCGUACCAUUUGGAUAAUGGGUCAGCGACAUAAUCUCAGUGGCAAGCUUAACCCAAACGGGGAGGCGUAGCGAAAGCGAGUCUUAAUAGGGCGACAGUCGCUGGGUAUAGACCCGAAACCGGGCGAUCUAUCCAUGGGCAGGUUGAAGGUUGGGUAACACUAACUGGAGGACCGAACCGACUACCGUUGAAAAGUUAGCGGAUGACCUGUGGAUCGGAGUGAAAGGCUAAUCAAGCUCGGAGAUAGCUGGUUCUCCUCGAAAGCUAUUUAGGUAGCGCCUCGUGUAUCACUGUUGGGGGUAGAGCACUGUUUCGGCUAGGGGGUCAUCCCGACUUACCAAACCGAUGCAAACUCCGAAUACCAACAAGUGUCAGCACGGGAGACACACGGCGGGUGCUAACGUCCGUCGUGAAAAGGGAAACAACCCAGACCGUCAGCUAAGGUCCCAAAGUUAUGGUUAAGUGGGAAACGAUGUGGGAAGGCUUAGACAGCUAGGAGGUUGGCUUAGAAGCAGCCACCCUUUAAAGAAAGCGUAAUAGCUCACUGGUCAAAUGAGUCCGCGCCGAAAAUUUAACGGGGCUCAAGCAUGUAACCGAAGCUGCGGAUUUGCAUCGAAAGAUGUGAGUGGUAGGGGAGCAUUCCAUAUUAGGCUGAAGCCAGAUCGUAAGGACUGGUGGACGAAAUGGAAGAGAUUAUGCUGACAUAAGUAGCGAUAAAGUCUGUGAGAAACAGACUCGCCGUAAACCUAAGGUUUCCUGGGGAAGGUAAAUCCUCCCGGGGUUAGUCGGUCCUAAGGCGAGGCCUGAUGGCGUAGUUGAUGGACAGCAGGUUAAUAUUCCUGCACCAUUUAUAUAGCGUUUGACUGAAGGGGAGACGCAGGAGGAUAGUUUGGGCCUGGUGAUGGUUCAGGUACAAGCGUUUAGGCUGAUGAGUAGGCAAAUCCGCUCAUUAUUAAGGCUGAGGCGUGAUGUGCAAACC
rnacentral:rRNA from 1 species